rnacentral:rRNA from 1 species
CCUACGGGAGGCAGCAGUAGGGAAUUUUCGUCAAUGGGCGCAAGCCUGAACGAGCAAUGCCGCGUGAACGAGGAAGGUCUUCGGAUCGUAAAGUUCUGUUGAAGGGGAAAAAGAGCGGAGAGAGGAAAUGCUUUCUGAUUGAUAUUACCCUUCGAGGAAGUCGCGGCUAACUACGUGCCAGCAGCCGCGGUAAUACGUGGGUGGCGAGCGUUAUCGGGAUUGAUGGGGCGAAAAGGGUGCGUAGGCGGCCUGCUAAGUCUGGGGUGACAGGUACCGGCUAAACCGGGACAGGCUCUGGAAACUGGCGGGCUAGAGAGCAGGAGAGGGCGGUGGAACUCCAUGUGUAGCGGUAAAAUGCGUAGAUAUAUGGAAGAACACCAGUGGCGAAGGCGGCCGCCUGGACUGUUACUGACGCUGAGGCACGAAAGCGUGGGGAGCAAAUAGGAUUAGAUACCCUUGUAGUC